AUGAAGCAGAACAGCAGCGUGCCUGCCUUCCUCAGCAAGCUGUGGGCGCUGCUGGAGGAUUCGGGGACAGACCAGCUGGUCUCCUGGAGCCGGAAUGGGACCUGUUUCCAGGUGUCCAAUGAGGGGAGGUUUGCCAAAGAGAUCCUGCCGCUCUACUUCAAGCACAGCAACAUGCCCAGCUUCAUCCGCCAGCUCAACAUGUACGGCUUUCACAAAGUGGUGCUUGUGGACGGACGGCUGCCUCGGGACCUUGAUGAUGUCAUCGAGUUCCAGCAUCCGUAUUUCAGACAGGGCGAAGCCCCUCUGCUGGAGAACAUCAAGAGGAAGGUGUCGGUGAGCCGAACGGACGAUGUCAAACUAAAACAACAGGAAGUGUCAAAGAUCCUGUCUGAAGUCCGUCAGAUGAAAGGGAAACAAGACCUGACCGACAACAGGAUUCUGGCUAUUAAAAGAGAAAAUGAAGCUCUUUGGAAUGAGAUCUCAUCCCUGAAACAGAAACAGCUGCAGCAGCAUCAGGUCAUCCGCAAGAUCGUCCAUUUCAUCGCCACCAUGGUGCAGUCAAACAGCGUGGCUGGCAUCAAGAGGAAGAUGCCUCUGAUGAUCAGCACCUCAGGGGGGACGCACUCCUACGCCAAGUACAGCCGGCCAAUCACCAUGGACGCCAGCCAGGACCCCACAGCUGUACACGGCAUUCCGAAAUGUGAAACAUGUGAGAAAAGCAGCGUGUAUCCAGGCCGAGUCAUCAUCUCUGACAUCACCGACCUGGACACUGACCAGGCUCUGGGGGAGCUGCCCAGCUUUGAGCCAAGUGCAGCCGAGACGCUGUUCAGCGGCGACAUAGAGACUCCAUCGCUGGCACCUGGUGCUGGAGGCCCCACCUUCACUUCACACGACCUGUACGAUGCUUUCCUUCACGACAGCUGCCACAUGAGCGAUGAGGAGAUGUCCGACAGGAGUGAGCUCAUGGACCAUCCAGACAUGAUUGACAGCAGCCUGGCCCAGAUCCACUCCUCUCUCAGCAACGCUCAACUCAACAUCAACCUGGACUUACUCAGAGAGCUCUUCAGUCCGUCCAGUGGAGGGUCAGUAACUGCCUACGCUGACGUGGGAGCCCACACCCAGGAGGCGAUGGCUGGGGAGUGGGAGUUGAGCCAGCGAGUGGGACACGAGGGUGCCCUGCCCCCGGCUGAGCAAGAGAGCGGGGAGCGGACGGAUGGCUCGUACCCGAGAGAGGAAGAGGAGGAGGAGGAGGGGGUGGACAUGCUGCCUACGCUUCUGGAGUUGGCACAGGAGGCUGGCGCUGGCGGCAGCUUCUUCCCCCCCACGGCUGGGGCCGAGGCCUUCAACCCCCCUUCACCAGAGCAGAGACCCCCCUUACUGUGCAGCUAGACACAGGACAUCGCCCCCCCGGGGGGCGGUGGGGGCAGGGAGCCCUGGCACUGACUGGAGACAACGACUUGUGUUUAAGCAGCGGCCUUCACGCAGGGCAGCAUCCCGGAGAGUGCAACAAUGGUGAGGUUCGAGUGCCAAGCCGGGGAGAAAGGGGAGAUGGAUGAAUGGAUUUGCGGUCGAAGAAAGUCUUCAGGUGUGAUCUGAAGAUGGGCAAAGAGGACGAGGUGCAGGGAUUUGGGCAGAGGGUGCCAGAGAGUGGGGGCAGUACUGUAGUGGCUGAAAGCAGGGAAUGUUUGGUCUCAUGAAGGUUUGAGCGUAACUGAAUGAUCUUUCAUUUUCUAUACGUUAACA